rnacentral:lncRNA from 1 species
AUGAGGCCUUUGAGUCCGAGGCCGGGCGCAGGCUCCACGUGGGUCCGCAGAGUCCCUGGAGAGGGGAAGAGCCUCCGCCUGCCGGGAGUCACCCCAGGGUUAGAAGGCCGAGGGUGGAUUUUGUUAGGUUUUAUUCAGGGCAUCUCUACACCCGGCGUGGGGCCAAACUCAGAGCCCGCGUCACGGGUUCCGGACUCCCCUGACUGCAGCCAGGCGCCCGGUCGGGGGGCGGCCCGGGGGCGUUUGCUUCGUCUGUCCCGGCGGAAGGGUACCGGUUUGCUCGCGCCGCGCCUUCGCCGCCCCGCGGUGCUGCUGCUGAGCCGCCGUCCCUCCGCCCGCCGCUCGGAGGCCCCAGAGCCCCGCGACCCGCAGCGCGAGGCCCGCGGCCGGCCGCCAGGGGUCAGCAGCGCGCCGCAGCCCGCAGCCCGCCGCCCGCAGGCGUCCGCCCGCCCCCGCAGCCCGCAGCCCGCCUCCCGCAGUCCGCCCCCCGCAGCCCGCAGCCCGCCCCCCGCAGGCGUCCGCCCGCCCCCCGCAGCCCGCAGCCCGCGCAGUCCGCCCCCCGCAGCCCGCAGUCGUCCGCCCGCCCCCGCAGCCCGCAGUCGUCCGCCCGCCCCCGCAGCCCGCAGCCCGCCCCCCGGCAGUCGUCCGCCCGCCCCCCGCAGCCCGCCGCCCGCCGCCCGCCGCAGGUGGAGGGACGCCCCUUCCCGCCGGGUCGCGCCGCUGAUGGCCACGUGCGGUCCACGCGCUCCUGGCCCGGGCGGUCCCCCCUACGUGGCAGCCGCGGGGCCUGGGACGGCCACAGCCGUGUGCGGGCCGGGGCGGCGGGGCGGCGGGCGGCGGGCGGACUGGCGGGCCCCGCGCCCUGCCCGGCGACCCCGACAAAGGGAAGGCCCUGAGCCCCUCGAGGGGACGGAAGCCCAGCCGGUUCCGGGCUCGGGCUCGGGCUCGGGCUCGGGCUCGGAACCGCGGAGCAGGGCCCGGGUCGCGGCAGGGUCAGCUUGUCCCGGGGGCGGGGAUCGCCGCUCCCAGGGGGGCUGGCGGGUCUGUCCCCAUCAGGCGGAGCGCGUGAGGGGCUCCGUAGGGCUGCGGCUGCCCCAACUCCACCCUCUGCUCUAG